rnacentral:rRNA from 1 species
GACGAACGCUGGCGGCGUGCCUAAUACAUGCAAGUCGAGCGGAAGUCGAAGAGCUUGCUCUUCAACUUUAGCGGCGGACGGGUGAGUAACACGUGGGCAACCUGCCCUGCAGAUCGGGAUAACUCCGGGAAACCGGUGCUAAUACCGAAUAGUUUUCGCCACCUCCUGGUGGCGUACGGAAAGACGGUUUCGGCUGUCACUGCAGGAUGGGCCCGCGGCGCAUUAGCUAGUUGGUGGGGUAACGGCCCACCAAGGCGACGAUGCGUAGCCGACCUGAGAGGGUGAUCGGCCACACUGGGACUGAGACACGGCCCAGACUCCUACGGGAGGCAGCAGUAGGGAAUCUUCCGCAAUGGACGAAAGUCUGACGGAGCAACGCCGCGUGAGUGACGAAGGUUUUCGGAUCGUAAAACUCUGUUGUGAGGGAAGAACAAGUACCAACUAACUACUGGUACCUUGACGGUACCUCACCAGAAAGCCACGGCUAACUACGUGCCAGCAGCCGCUGUAAAAC